UCAUAUAUGAAAUCAGAAACCAAAUAUCAAAACUAAUAAUCUACCUUCAAAUUCAGCAAAACCUCUUAACCAGUUUCGAGUGCAAAGCAGUGCUUGAACAUUUUUUGGAAGAAGACGGUUUCUGUAAGGACUAAUCACCCGUCCUCCAACGCUAAAUGCUGAUUCCGAUGCCACAGUUGUGAUUGGAAUGCUGAGCAAAUCACAUGCAAGAGAAGCUAAAUCGCCAUAGCGUUGUCCUUGAUCUUUCCAAUAACCUAAAACCUCUAUGUCGGUAAAAGACCUCGUAUCUAGCCUAGGAUCUUCUAAAUACAUCUCCAGAUUUGUCUUCUUAUUGUCUAGACCAGGCUGGAUGCUCCUCUCAAGUUCAAACAGAUCCUACGUUAUUGUAUUAAACAAGCAUCACAUUAGAUAGAUAACAAGAUUAUGAUAUAUGAAUUUAUAAACUACAAAAGACUUACAUAAUUCAGAUCAUCUUCUAAUGGGGACUCAGUAAGAAGCUCAUAUGGAGUCGGUGUUGCUGAAGAGGUUGAAGAAGAACUCUGAAACUUGGCUCCAUACUCUUCAUAAAGCUUUUUCAAAUUCUUCUUAACAACUUCAACCUUUUUCUCAGCGUUUCUCGGAUCCACUUUGUCAUAAGCUGUUCUAAGUAUUUGCAGCUUCAAUCUCGGAUCUAAAACAGCCCCCAUAGCUAGAACAAGACUGUAUUCAUCCCAAUACUUAGAAAACUUAACUCUCAUUUUCUUAGCCAUCUCUUUCAUUACUGGAUCAUCACAACUAGCAUACUUCAUCAGUAAGCAUUCAAUUUUCCACACUUGUAGAAAAUAUGCAUUAGCCGUUGGAUAUCUAACGCCUGAGAAGAACGUUGUAAUAGUGCUGAAAGGCUUCAGAAACUCACAAAUUUUCUGCCCUCGAUCCCACUCAUCCUCUGAAGGCAAUGAUUUGUAACUCCUGUCACACUCUUGCAAAAUCUGAAGGCAGUGAUUUGUAGCUCCUGUCACACUCUUUCAAACUAGUGAAUGCGUCACGAAACUUCAGAGCUCUAGCAAGCAUAUCAUAAGUUGAAUUCCAUCUGGUUGGUACAUCUAGAGACAGUCCAGCUCCACUCCUAAUCCCUACACUCUGAACACAUGCUGCAAAUGCUUCUAUCCUUGAUCCAGAUGCUUUGACAAACUUAACACUCUCUCGGAUAUUUUCCAGAAGACCAACAGCAAGUUCUAAACCUUCUUUCACUAUGAGAUUCAAAAUGUGUGCACAGCAUCUAACGUGGAAGAACUUCCCAUCACACAACAACCCGUUGCCGCUAGCCAUUUGAAGUCGAUGCUUGAGUAUCUUCUGCAUACUAUCGUUAUAAGUAGCAUUAUCCAAGGUCAUAGAGAAGACCUUUUUCUCUAAUCCCCACUCCUUCAAACAGCUAAUAAGUUUGUUAGCCACUUCUUCACCAGUAUGUGGAGGUUUCAACUCACUGAAGACUAGUAUCUUGUUGUUCAACUUGAAGCUCUCAUCAACAUAGUGAGCUGUCAGACAGAUAUACCCCGUCAUAGUAGUAGAAGCUGUCCAUAUAUCUGAGGUAAAAGAUCCCCGACCCUUGAUAUCUGAGGUAAAAGAUACCCGACCCUUGAAUUCUGAUAACUCUUUCUUCAGCUUCUCUCUUUCUUCCUCAUAUCUCUUAUAGACAUCAGCUCCAGCAGUUUGUCUAGAUAUAUGCUGGCAUUUGGGAUUCAGGUACUUGUCCCUAGCUCUAACCUUCUCAUACUCAACGUAUUUGAAAGGCUGAUCAUGGAAAAUAAUGAUCUCACUGAUCAUAUCACGAUCUACUUUCGGAUCAUACUCACGAUCACCACUUGACGGAGGCUUUUUGGGACAGAUUUCUAAAUGCCGUUUCAUAGAAGAUGUUCCUGAGGCAGAUUCUGAUACUAACUUCUUAUUACAAUGAAUGCAACGACUCCUUCUUUUUCCAUCUGCCUCUACUCCUACUACUACGAAAUGGUUCCAAACAAGAGACUUUGCGCGUUUAGAAUGACUCACAGUUUCAGUUGCUUGAACAGGUUGAGUUUCACUUUGUGCUUGUCCUUGAGUUUCUGCUUCAUCAUCAUCAUCAACCUCCAUUUGCUCAUUUGCAGCCUCAAGAGCUGCUAGUGUGUCAAGUGUUUGUGAAUCCAUCCUGGAAAAAACAUUAAACAAUCAGAAAAUUUAAGCUAUUAUUGAAUAGAGUAACGGCACACAUACGCACACAUAAAACAAUAUUAUUGUUUCAGCACAAGACCAAACCACCACUGAUAAUCAACCUGUUAAGCACAACAACAAGAAAGCCCACAAUAUGC
rnacentral:lncRNA from 1 species